GAGCAAGCACCAGAAGCACCAGGCUUUCGAAGCAGAGCUGCAUGCCAAUGCUGACCGGAUCCGCGGGGUUAUCGACAUGGGCAACUCCCUCAUUGAACGUGGAGCCUGUGCCGGCAGUGAGGAUGCUGUCAAGGCCCGCCUGGCUGCCUUAGCUGACCAGUGGCAGUUCUUGGUGCAAAAGUCAGCUGAAAAGAGCCAGAAACUGAAAGAAGCCAACAAGCAGCAGAACUUCAACACAGGGAUCAAGGACUUUGACUUCUGGCUGUCUGAGGUGGAGGCCCUGCUGGCAUCUGAAGAUUAUGGCAAAGACCUGGCUUCUGUGAACAACCUGCUGAAAAAGCAUCAACUGCUGGAAGCAGAUAUAUCUGCCCAUGAGGAUCGCCUGAAGGACCUGAACAGCCAGGCAGACAGCCUGAUGACCAGCAGUGCCUUCGACACCUCCCAAGUAAAGGACAAGAGGGACACCAUCAACGGGCGCUUCCAGAAGAUCAAGAGCAUGGCGGCCUCCCGGCGAGCCAAGCUGAAUGAAUCCCAUCGCCUGCACCAGUUCUUCCGGGACAUGGAUGACGAGGAGUCCUGGAUCAAGGAGAAGAAGCUGCUGGUGGGCUCUGAGGACUACGGCCGGGACCUAACCGGCGUGCAGAACCUGAGGAAGAAGCACAAGCGGCUGGAGGCAGAACUGGCCGCGCAUGAGCCGGCUAUUCAGGGUGUCCUGGACACUGGCAAGAAACUGUCCGAUGAUAACACCAUUGGGAAAGAGGAGAUCCAGCAGCGGCUGGCGCAGUUUGUGGAGCACUGGAAAGAGCUGAAGCAGCUGGCAGCUGCCCGGGGUCAGCGGCUGGAAGAGUCCUUGGAAUAUCAGCAGUUCGUAGCCAAUGUGGAAGAGGAGGAAGCCUGGAUCAAUGAGAAAAUGACCCUGGUGGCCAGCGAAGAUUAUGGCGACACUCUUGCCGCCAUCCAGGGCUUGCUGAAGAAACAUGAAGCUUUUGAGACAGACUUCACCGUCCACAAGGAUCGCGUGAAUGACGUCUGCACCAAUGGACAAGACCUCAUUAAGAAGGUUUAGAGCUACCAACUAGAUCAAACAGCCGCAGAGAUUCCCGUUUAAUAGGAUCAUAUCACUCUAUAAAUUAUCAAAAACCUAGAGGCUGUACAGGGCAUUUUAGAAAUGAAUCUAUUUCAUUCACAGCCCGUUUGGGAGAAAACAAAAUAAAGGGGCUUGGUGCUUUCUCAGCAGCAGCGAAGCCACGUCCCUCCCACACAGAAGCUCUAGACUGAAGGCAGUGUGUCCAUGGUUCGGGAAUUCACCAGCAAUCACUCAGGUGCAGUGAUGUACCUGGAGUGCCUCAGGACAGAGGUUUUAACAGCUGUGGUUUCCUGUCACACCCACAUCAUGAGUAAGAUUUCUCAUCACAGAGGUCGCACUCAGCAGUCAUGGCCUUCAGACUAGGGUUUGAUCCAUAGGCGGCAACAAUGUAGCUAAAAUCCACUUCACUGGAGA
rnacentral:sRNA from 1 species